rnacentral:rRNA from 1 species
GACGAACGCUGGCGGCGUGCUUAACACAUGCAAGUCGAACGGAAAGGCCCUGCUUUUGUGGGGUGCUCGAGUGGCGAACGUGUGAGUAACACGUGAGUAACCUGCCCUUGACUUUGGGAUAACUUCAGGAAACUGGGGCUAAUACCGGAUAGGAGCUCCUGCUGCAUGGUGGGGGUUGGAAAGUUUCGGCGGUUGGGGAUGGACUCGCGGCUUAUCAGCUUGUUGGUGGGGUAGUGGCUUACCAAGGCUUUGACGGGUAGCCGGCCUGAGAGGGUGACCGGCCACAUUGGGACUGAGAUACGGCACAGACUCCUACGGGAGGCAGCAGUGGGGAAUAAUGCACAAUGGGCGGAAGCCUGAUGCAGCAACGCCGCGUGCGGGAUGACGGCCUUCGGGUUGUAAACCGCUUUCGCCUGUGACGAAGCGUGAGUGACGGUAAUGGGUAAAGAAGCACCGGCUAACUACGUG